CGGACCUCCAAUCAGUCAAGGUUACCCGCUGAAUUUAAGCAUAU
rnacentral:rRNA from 1 species